rnacentral:rRNA from 1 species
ACGAUAGAUCUGAAAACAACAUUAACCAGUGUGAACCGUAAAACAACUCUUUUAGGGGUCGGCACAGGCGUGUGUCGUUAAAUGGCGGAUAGGUUCCUUCCGCCAGCCCCGCCAUUGUGUUUAUUAUAUCGCUUUGAACGUUAAAGACUGAGAACGUAAGUAAUUGAUGUGUGCGAACAGCGUGCAUUAAUUAUGAGAAAGAAAGAAAAAGACAACUUUUGACGGUGGAUCUCUUGGCUCACGUAUCGAUGAAGAACGCAGCCAGCUGCGAUAUGUAGUGUGAAUUGCAGAAUUCAGUGAAUCAUUGAAUCUUUGAACGCAAAUGGCGCUCUUGGGUUCUCCCAGGAGCAUGUCUGUCUGAGUGUCGGAUUUUAUCGAACGCGCAUGAAUGUGUGCGGUAUUGAGGUGUCACGGCGUGUUAGAUCGUUAGAUAAAUAUCGCCGUGUCCCUUGAAGGACAGCAGCAUUGGACUCGCAUUCUCUAUUGAAACUUGAGUGCGAAGGCUAAAGAUGAUAUUUUCCUUCGCCCCAAAAUCCAAUAGGGUUAGGAGAAAUGUGGACAGUCCUUGCUGAAAGAAAGCAAAGCGGUGACAAAAAAUUUCAAAUCUUGACCUCAGAUCAGGCAAGGCUACCCGCUGGAUUUAA